UGCAAAUUCGUAACUUCAAGGGCGAACAUGUAAACAGGGCGAGUUGUCCCGAUACCAAAUUCACGCAUGCGUACUACAAAUAUCUACAGUAAAAUCAUCCGGUUACAAGUAAACAGAUAACGUUCAUGUAGAUGAGAUGAAAUCUAAUAAUUUACAUAAAUAAAAGGGUACAUAUUUACGAUAGUGAUUGUUUUUCAAUCCCUAUUU
rnacentral:lncRNA from 1 species